GGGGGGCACUAGCGCGAGCGCGCUUAGUGUCGCACACAAAAGCUCAAAUUUAAAAUCUGGCAGUCUCUGAUAUGUCCGAGUUGUAAUUUAGAGAAGUGUUACCCGUGUUGGACCGUGUACAAGUCUCCUGGAAUGGAGCGUCAUAGAGGGUGAGAAUCCCGUCUUUGAUACGGAUCCCAAUACAUUGUGGUACACUCUCGAAGAGUCGAGUUGUUUGGGAAUGCAGCUCUAAAUGGGUGGUAAAUUCCAUCUAAAGCUAAAUAUUGGGGAGAGACCGAUAGCGAACAAGUACCGUGAGGGAAAGAUGAAAAGAACUUUGGAAAGAGAGUUAAACAGUACGUGAAAUUGCUGAAAGGGAAACGCUUGAAGUCAGUCGCGUUGGUCGGGGAUCAGCCUUCCUUAUGGUUGGUGCAUUUCCUGAUCAACGGGUCAACAUCAGUUUUGAUCAAUGGAUAAAAGUUUGAGGGAUGAGGCAUCUUCGGGAUGUGUUAUUUCGUCUGCUGGCUAUACGUUGCUGGCGGUAGGUGUGAAUGACACGCCC
rnacentral:rRNA from 1 species